rnacentral:lncRNA from 1 species
ACAAACACAAAUCUCAACUUCCAUUUUUUCAUUCAAUCCUAGUCACUCUUAACAAUUAAUCCUAUGGUUGAAAUUGGUGAUCCGCAACUUAAGCAUAAAUUAACUUCCAGCCAUUGAUAAAACCAUUACAUGGAUCACAAUCUAAUGGUGUUCGUUCACUUGUAAAGUCUAUAUAAACAUGUUAUUUCUCACAAUUUUGGGGGUUAACUAACAUAACAAAUUAAACUAUCUUUUCUCCCAUUAUUUUUU